UGGGGAAUAUUGCACAAUGGGCGCAAGCCUGAUGCAGCCAUGCCGCGUGUGUGAAGAAGGCCUUCGGGUUGUAAAGCACUUUCAGCGAGGAGGAAGGUGGUGAGCUUAAUACGCUCAUCAAUUGACGUUACUCGCAGAAGAAGCACCGGCUAACUCCGUGCCAGCAGCCGCGGCAAUACGGAGGGUGCAAGCGUUAAUCGGAAUUACUGGGCGUAAAGCGCACGCAGGCGGUUUGUUAAGUCAGAUGUGAAAUCCCCGGGCUCAACCUGGGAACUGCAUUUGAAACUGGCAAGCUAGAGUCUCGUAGAGGGGGGUAGAAUUCCAGGUGUAGCGGUGAAAUGCGUAGAGAUCUGGAGGAAUACCGGUGGCGAAGGCGGCCCCCUGGACGAAGACUGACGCUCAGGUGCGAAAGCGUGGGGCAGCAAACAGGAUUAGAUACCCUGGUAGUCCACGCUGUAAACGAUGUCGAUUUUGGAGGUUGUGCCCUUGAGGCGUGGCUUCCGGAGCUAACGCGUUAAAUCGACCGCCUGGGGAGUACGGCCGCAAGGUUAAAACUCAAAUGAAUUGACGGGGUC
rnacentral:rRNA from 1 species